UAUUAUAUUUAUAUUAAUAUAAAUAUAAUAUUUAUAUUUAUAUAAAGUUUAGAAGCAAAAACAAAUGGUCUUAUAUCUACUAAAUGUAUAAUAAGUAUUUUACACAGUUUUUUACAAAAAUGGAUGCCAACCAAAUAUAAGUUACUCUAUAAUAAGUUACUUUUCUAUGGUCAACCAAACAUGCCAAAAUCCUAUUAUCAAAAAAUAACUUUCCAGGAAGUAACUAUCUAGGAAGUUACUUCUUGAGAAUAAAAAUUCUUCUUGUGAACCAAACGAGUUCAAAGUCUUCCCAACCCCAACAUGAUGUGUAAAAAAAAAAUAUCAU
rnacentral:lncRNA from 1 species